GUCCUAGCUGUAAACGAUGCAAACUAGGUGUGGGGGGUUACUCCCUCUGUGCCGCAGCUAACGCAGAAGUUUGCCGCCUGGGGAGUACGGCCGCAAGGUUGAAACUCAAAAGAAUUGACGGGGGCCCGCACAAGCAGUGGAUCAUGUGGUUCAAUUCGAUGCUACACGAAGAACCUUACCUAGGCUUGACAUCCUAUCAGUAGGCGGUGGAAACACUUGCCGACCGUAAAUCGGAGGUAGGACAGGUGCUGCAUGGUUGUCGU
rnacentral:rRNA from 1 species